UCACCAUUCACUUCUUCAUCUUCUCCCUCCAUCUUCUUCUUCUUCUUCUUCUUCUUCAUAUUAACAUCUUCACUCACCCCUCCUACUUCAACACCUUCUUUCUCUUCUUCAACUACUGCUUUGCUUGGACCCUCUUCUAUCUUUUGCCAACCUUUUUCCUCCUUGACUUUGACCUCAACUUCUUCUUCUUCAGUUGUAGAGUGAUUGAUUUAUGGGAUAUGAUUGUGUCCAUUAAUAUUGUUGCAUUUUGUUGGUUACUAUUCUCAUCCUCAUCAUGUUUCUCUUCUUUGGAAGCUUCUACUUCUGGCACUGUAGGAAUUAACUUCGCAUCAAUCAUCAUUGUUAACAUGAACGGGAAACUGAUGAUCAGAUUCCUCAACCUUAUGAUCAUGAUCAUGAUAACUUUCAUGUUCAGAUUCAACAUGAGGUGGAAUCUCAUAUUCUUUCUUAUUUUCAACCUCUUUUUGUUUCUACACAUUUUAUAGUUCCUCAAUCUCAAUAUUUUCCUUUUCAUUGAUAUCUUCUUUAACUUGUGGCUCAGCUUCAACAUGUAAACCUUCUGUAGUAGUUUCAGCUAUAGUAGUACUCUUUUCAGCAUUGGUUGAUUUAGCAGAAGAAAAAACAUCAUCAUGUACCAUCUUAGUGGUUGUUGAAGUAGCAGUAGGACUUGGGCUUAUCAAAAGAUCUUCUGUUUACACUAGGCUUUUUUGGGGCUUCACUCUUAAUAAGAUUGAAGGAGUGAGACUCAACUAGGCGUGACCUUAUUAUUGUGGGGCUUGAGAUAGUUUAGGACUGGUUUUUCUGUUGUUGGGUUUGAGGUUGUUGCCUUAUGUAUUGGGUUUGUUGUUGUGGAUGGUUUUGUGCACUUUUUUGUUCUUGUGAUAGAACAAGUGGCCUUCUUCUCCUUACCAACAACUUUACUCUCUUUUGCCUUCUUCUCCUUAUCAACAGCUUUACUCUCUUUUGCUUUUGUUGCCAUGUGAAUAAGGGUAUUAAUCUCAAGGAUAUCUUUUUACAGUUUGGG
rnacentral:lncRNA from 1 species